AAACGCGCCGCCCCGCAUUUUCUUCACCGAGUGGCGUGGCGGCGCCACCGCUUGCACGUUGACCACGGAUGUACUGGCGGCAGAUGACAAGCGACAAGAGGUCGGUGCGAAUUCGCCCCGGCCUUUUUUGUU
rnacentral:sRNA from 1 species